CAUUAAGAAAAAUCGUGAUACCUCAACUGCUGAUUAAACAUGGGGAGGUUGAAUGAGAAUCAUGUCGUUGUGUGAAAGCUGAAGAUCAGUGUCUCCCAUUUGGCUACUCAGGUUGUGUGUGUCAUAUCAACUUCUACAAAGCCCCUCGAGUUUGAAGGUUACUUGUGCAUCUCAAGGGGCUGUCAGCCAUGGAUCCAAAAUUUAGAGCUGCAAAAUUCACAGUUCUGAAUUCAGAGCAUAUGCCGCCAAUGAGGAAGAAACGCUGAAAACCUGGUGUAUGACAGUAUCUGGGUGCCCCCUAGCGUAUGGAUAAUUUCUGCCUCAAAAUGCUCUCUUUAACGUGUAAGAGCCAUCUUAAAUAGAAAACCGCGUCUCGGCUGUUCGUCUCUCACUAACGCCAAAUGCGACGUGUGCUCGUUUUAAUCUGAUUAAUGCCUUUGAGACUCGUUUCUAAUUUAAACGGACGAGGCAAAGCUAUGGGUGUGCAUACACCAUUUUUAUUCGUGCAUAUUGAAGAAAAGACGGAAUGUAUUUUGCUUGUUUUGCAGUCAGAUGUGUUUUUUUUUUAGCUUUGCACGCUGAGAGCCAAAAGUCCUUACGCAAAGCGGACACGAAGGAAAAACGCAGGAAAAACACCGAUACGUUUUGGAAUGUACUGAAAUCCAUAUUUGAAGGUAGAACGCCACUUGCUUUGUGUAGGCUGAGGGUCUCUGAGAGGGAGGGGGAGACGCAGGCAGAGGAGAAACCUGUCUGUUUAUGGGGACAUUAUAAUUCUACCCAUGGCCAAGUCCACCGAAACCAGACUAAACUUCAACACACCAAUUAAAAAGGCUCCAGCGGGAUGCAAGGGUGAGAAUCGGCAAACAAAAGUGUUCAUCCCAAAAAGCUCACAGUGUUCAGAGUUUCCAGUGUGACUACUGCCUCUGCCACUGGUCAGAGUCUCGUCGCUUGGUGGUGCUCAGUGAUGCUGUGGAUGCAUCUAUGGGGACAGCCUGUGAUCCAGGAGACAGCCAUGGAGAGAGCCACUUGGGGACUUUCACACCAUCACAGAUCUGCCAUUACAUCUGUCAGCUUGUGAUUGCAAGGAAUUAGUGCCUAUAAUAACCUCAGAAACUACAGUGACCUAAUAGUUCCUCAAGGGUCCUUGAUUGCUGUUGUAGAAAGGACAUUAAUUAGUUACAGUUACACUAUUUACUGUUCAGUGUCACCCAAAUGAGGAUGGGUUCCCUUCUGAGCCUGGUUCCUCUCAAGGUUUCUUCCUCAUAUAAUCACAGGGAGCUCUUCCCUGCCAUCAUCGCUGCAGGCUUGCUCGUUAGGGAUAUAAUAGUGAUUAAAUAAUUUAAUAAUUUAAUUUAAUUUAAUAAUUUUUUCCCCAUCCUUUUUCUGUUUCUCUUCUUUUGUAAAGCUGCGUUGAGACAAUGUCCAUUGUAAAAGGUGCUAUACAAAUAAAUUGAAUUGAAUUGAAUUGAAAA